AGAAGGUAAUCACAGCGACCGCCAGGCAAAUCGAGAGUUUGAUUCGUCUCAGCGAAGCAUUAGCUCGCAUGCGCUUUUCUGGAUCGGUGGAGAUAAGUGAUGUCACUGAGGCGUUUAGGUUGCUCGAAGUUGCAAUGCAGCAGUCGGCAACCGAUCAUAGCACAGGAACCAUUGACAUGGAUCUCAUUAUGACUGGUAUAUCUGCGAGUGAGAGGAUAAGGCGAGAGAGUCUGGUUG
rnacentral:misc_RNA from 1 species